GUGGGGAAUAUUGGACAAUGGGCGCAAGCCUGAUCCAGCCAUGCCGCGUGAGUGAUGAAGGCCUUAGGGUUGUAAAGCUCUUUUGUCCGGGAAGAUAAUGACUGUACCGGAAGAAUAAGCCCCGGCUAACUUCGUGCCAGCAGCCGCGGUAAUACGAAGGGGGCUAGCGUUGUUCGGAAUCACUGGGCGUAAAGCGCACGUAGGCGGACCAUUAAGUCAGGGGUGAAAGCCUGGAGCUCAACUCCAGAACUGCCUUUGAUACUGAUGGUCUCGAGUAUGGAAGAGGUUGGUGGAACUGCGAGUGUAGAGGUGAAAUUCGUAGAUAUUCGCAAGAACACCAGUGGCGAAGGCGGCCAACUGGUCCGAUACUGACGCUGAGGCGCGAAAGCGUGGGGAGCAAACAGGAUUAGAAACCCUGGUAGUCC
rnacentral:rRNA from 1 species